rnacentral:rRNA from 1 species
CGUUACCCUUUUCUAACGGAAUAGCCGUACGGGAAACUGAGAUUAAUACCGUAUACGCCCGGUAACGGGAAAGAUUUAUCGGAGAAGGAUCAGCCCGCGUAAGAUUAGAUAGUUGGUGGGGUAAUGGCCUACCAAGUCUACGAUCUUUAGCUGGUUUGAGAGGAUGAUCAGCAACACUGGGACUGAGACACGGCCCAGACUCCUACGGGAGGCAGCAGUGGGGAAUAUUGGACAAUGGGCGAAAGCCUGAUCCAGCAAUGCCGCGUGAGUGAUGAAGGCCUUAGGGUUGUAAAGCUCUUUUACCAGGGAUGAUAAUGACAGUACCUGGAGAAUAAGCUCCGGCUAACUCCGUG